CGAACUUGAAUGGACAAGGGCAUGGGAAUAGCACGGCCCAAAAUUUGGGAAGUUCUAUGGUCCAGCCUCAUAAAUUUCAGUACCCAAUGUUACAAGCACAGCCCAUUCCUUCAUCUGCUAAUGGACUGGGCUUUGUGAACCAUAGAAGCCCAAUAGGCACUCCUGAUCUGAAUGUCACUUUGGUGGAGGCUUUCACCUUUGAGCAUAGCAUGGGUCUAAUGUUACAAGCACAGCCCAUUCCUUCAUCUGCUAAUGGACUGGGCUUUGUGAACCAUAGAAGCCCAAUAGGCACUCCUGAUCUCAAUGUCACUUUGGUGGAGGCUUUCACCUUUGAGCAUAGCAUGGGUCUUACUGAAAGAAAGGCCCAAUAUGCAGAAGCUAGGAGGAAGAGGAUGAUGAAUAGAAAGAAAUUAAGAGAUUGAUAAUUUUUUUUUAAUUUUAGGGGCGAUUCAUUGUCUUAUUUGAUGACAAGGCGUGAGAUUAACGUCGGUAGAAUUAGCAUAUGUAGUCCAAGUAGAUGGAAGAAUUGUAAAUGAGGUUAUUUUUUUGUAAUGAAGUUUGGUUCACAUACAUGUAGCUGGGGACUGAGAUUAUUUAUGUGAUGAUUAAUAAUGAAGGAUGGUUAAUCGUGAUUCGUGAAGA
rnacentral:lncRNA from 1 species